rnacentral:rRNA from 1 species
UCAGAGGGAGGUAGAAUUCCACGUGUAGCAGUGAAAUGCGUAGAGAUGUGGAGGAAUACCGAUGGCGAAGGCANCCUCCUGGGAUAACACUGACGUUCAUGCCCGAAAGCGUGGGUAGCAAACAGGAUUAGAUACCCUGGUAGUCCACGCCCUAAACGAUGUCGAUUAGCUGUUGGGCAGCAUGACUGCUUAGUAGCGAAGCUAACGCGUGAAAUCGACCGCCUGGGGAGUACGGUCGCAAGAUUAAAACUCAAAGGAAUUGACGGGGACCCGCACAAGCGGUGGAUGAUGUGGAUUAAUUCGAUGCAACGCGAAGAACCUUACCUGGUCUUGACAUGUACGGAACCCUCCAGAGACGGAGGAGUGCCUUCGGGAGCCGUAACACAGGUGCUGCAUGGCUGUCGUCAGCUCGUGUCGUGAGAUGUUGGGUUAAGUCCCGCAACGAGCGCAACCCUUGUCAUUAGUUGCCAUCAUUAAGUUGGGCACUCUAAUGAGACUGCCGGUGACAAGCCGGAGGAAGGUGGGGAUGACGUCAAGUCCUCAUGGCCCUUAUGACCAGGGCUUCACACGUCAUACAAUGGUCGGUACAGAGGGUGGCCAAGCCGCGAGGCGGAGCCAAUCUCACAAAACCGAUCGUAGUCCGGAUUGCACUCUGCAACUCGAGUGCAUGAAGUCGGAAUCGCUAGUAAUCGCAGGUCAGCGUACUGCGGUGAAUACGUUCCCGGGUCUUGUACACACCGCCCGUCACACCAUGGGAGUGGGGGAUACCAGAAGUAGGUAGGGUAACCGCAAGGAGC